rnacentral:rRNA from 1 species
AUUGAACGCUGGCGGCAGGCCUAACACAUGCAAGUCGAACGGUAACAGAAAGCAGCUUGCUGCUUUGCUGACGAGUGGCGGACGGGUGAGUAAUGUCUGGGAAACUGCCUGAUGGAGGGGGAUAACUACUGGAAACGGUAGCUAAUACCGCAUAACGUCGCAAGACCAAAGAGGGGGACCUUCGGGCCUCUUGCCAUCGGAUGUGCCCAGAUGGGAUUAGCUUGUUGGUGGGGUAACGGCUCACCAAGGCGACGAUCCCUAGCUGGUCUGAGAGGAUGACCAGCCACACUGGAACUGAGCCACGGUCCAGACUCCUACGGGAGGCAGCAGUGGGGAAUAUUGCACAAUGGGCGCAAGCCUGAUGCAGCCAUGCCGCGUGUAUGAAGAAGGCCUUCGGGUUGUAAAGUACUUUCAGCGGGGAGGAAGGGAGUAAAGUUAAUACCUUUGCUCAUUGACGUUACCCGCAGAAGAAGCACCGGCUAACUCCGUG